rnacentral:rRNA from 1 species
UACGUAGGGGGCAAGCGUUAUCCGGAUUUACUGGGUGUAAAGGGAGCGUAGACGGCAGGGCAAGUCUGGAGUGAAAGGCAGGGGCCCAACCCCUGGACUGCUCUGGAAACUGUCCGGCUGGAGUGCAGGAGAGGUAAGUGGAAUUCCUAGUGUAGCGGUGAAAUGCGUAGAUAUAUGGAGGAACACCGGUGGCGAAAGCGGCUCUCUGGCCUGUAACUGACACUGAGGCUCGAAAGCGUGGGGAGCAAACAGG